CUGUAUCCGAAAUUUUGUUUGCUAGCAGAAAAUGUGGAGACAUGGAUCGUUACAAAAUCUUGCUUUUGGUCGCUGUGCCCGCAUAUGGCAUGUAUGCAAUCUGUGCAAGCUUAUGUAAGUCAUACAGACGGAGCAAAUGUGUCGUUUUCGAAACCAGGAGAGCCCUUCCGUGUUACCUAUACCUUUACGUUAGGUGUAAAAUAAAGGCGUUCCGCAAACGGAAAGGUCAGUUGUAUGCUCACAGGGACAAACCUGUUAACCCCACGUUUACUAUUCUCAACUGCAGGCUAAAGGUGAAUGAUCUACGAUGGUACUGCUGGGCCACUGGAUAUGGUUGGGACUACCCAGACAGUGUCUUCAGGGACAUCCCACUGUGUUUCUGUGAUGUCCUUUGUGGUCGGUUGAUGGCGAUGGUAAUAACUUCAGAUGAUUUCAGAUUAAGCCCUCAAGGUCUUUGCCCUGUCCGCCAAACCAUGAGGAAAUUUGAGCCCAUAGAUGAGUUGAGGAGAGCCUCUUUCCGUCUGGAGGCAGGGGUGGCUGAGUACAGGCUUGUUGACUGCGGUGUGGAGGUGGAUAUUUGGUUUAAGGCCUUGAGAGCUGAUCAUCCAGUAUGGGAGAGUGUUGUGACCAUGCUCUCCCCUAGAGAUUUUCCAGUGUUGAAUGUCCAGAGCCUGUCCAAUGGUGUAGAUGGGGCUGUUGAAAUGAAGUCACUGGAGAUCAGUGUGCCACUGUUUGCUGGUCUUAAGUCGGUGUGGGCCUUCUGUGAUGUCUCCUUGAAGAACCUUCUUGUUUUUCCAUCAACAUUGGGGGUUAUGGGACGUUUCACAGUUCACGGUCUAUGGAUGAUGUCCCAGUGUCUGGCUGAGAUUGAGAAACACAAAGGGGCUGAUGCAGUACGAGCUCCACUGUCUGUGUCUGUCCAGUUCAAGCAGCCUCUGGUGUUACCAAGGAAGGUUGUCAUCCGUUUUUGGGAAGCCACAGAUGAGAGCUGUCAACAGCCUAGGAAUGUGUGCAGGUUUCAGCUAGAAGAUUACAGCAGAGGAACCUGCUACAUCCUGGGACAAGUGAUCAGGGAACCUGACUGAAGUGAUGAAAGUGGAUAGCUAAAAAUGACCCUCAUUGUUGUAGAAAUGUAAGAUUGUGUACUAGUACUGAUGUUUUUAAGGUGUUGGUGACAUUUUAAAUAAAGUGUUUUUCCUAUAAUGAAUCUGUGAUAGG
rnacentral:lncRNA from 1 species